CAAAGAAGUUAAAUGUAACCUGACGGUGUCUUCCUUAAUGGGUCGCACGUCGGUAGGUGAAUGAGGGAAGGAGAAAUGUUGAAAGAGCAGUAACGCUGGUGGAGUGACCGAUGGUGAAACGUUAUCUUAGGGUCUUAUUGUGUGACGACACAAGGUGAAAGUGAAACCCUAAUAUGACUUUUUUGUUCAGCAACUAAAAAUGUGUUUACCUUUUAAAAGGUCACAUUUGGUUAAAAGAAGCGUGAGUCAAUUUUGUGCCCGAAAUUGAGUUGUAAACAUUUCUACAAAAUGACAGCUUUCUUCCUCAAAAGUUGAAAAUUAAAAUUAAUGUUUAGAUCUUACCAACAUAAUUUAAAUUUGAAAAUUCAAGAAAUGCCAAAUACAUCUCUACGUGUCCCUUUACUUAAUCGGCAAUUUAACUCAAAUUGCUAGAAGACCCAUGCAAUUUUAAAGAUUAAAAAUGAAAAAAAAAAAAAUGUUCUACACUAUACAAGAUGUAAAUAUUAAAACUAAUUAAAAAUAUGUUAUUAUAAUCGACGUGUCCCCAAAUGUGUUUGCCCCACCGUCUUUGAAAAAUCACUUGUCGGACACAUGUUCAUGCAUCAUAGGUAUUUUAACUAGCUUGGACUGUUGUGUGCACUCAAAGAUUAAUGAACAGCUCAGUGUCAAAUGCAUUGGUUGAUAGGUACUAUUUGUUGAUUAAAGAUUACUGUGGUACAUGUCUAGAUGUUUUUGACAGGAAACACACUUGGCUUUGCAGGGAAGAAAAUUAGAAUUCAUCAAGAGUAUUCCAUGAAUAACCAUUUUUCUUAGUUGAUGUUGUUUUGUUUAAGGUACGAAGCGUGUGGAUUGAAGCCUUCUUGUGAGGAUUGAGUUUCAACAUUCUCAUCUAAAAAUUAGUUGGUGUCCAAUGAGGGCAGGCUAAACCUUUUAUGGAAUACGAUCAUCAUUUUAAGUGACCCAACCCAUGUUCUUAAGGGUGGCAUUGUUGCCCCAUAACAAUACCUUCCUCAAUGUGGCACUCCUUUCGCUUGAACUCUUAAUUCUAACUCUGAUACCACUUGUUAGAAUUGCAUUUCAACGAUUUUAUCUAAAAAUCAAUUAGUAUUUAGUGAGGAUAGACUAAAUCUUUUAUGGCAUUCAAUCACCAUCAUUUAAGUGACCUAAUACAUGGGCUUAAGAGUGGCAUUGUUGCUCUCCAACAAUUGCACCCCAUGAUCUAAAAGUUAACUUGUUACAUCGGGCCAAACGUAUAUCAUUUAAGUAUUAUCUUGAACACCCUCUCUCAUGUGUAGGUCAAAUUUAUUAUUUAUUUCCAUCAAAACUUGACACGCGCACAAAUUAUUUUAAAUGGGUGGUGGCGAGAUAUGAAUCUAGCUCUGAUA
rnacentral:lncRNA from 1 species